ACUGGGUGUGGUGGUGCACACCUGUAAUCCCCCAUGACUCAGGAAGCUGAGGCAGGAGGAUUACAAAUUGAAGACCAGCCUGAACAACUUAGUGAGAUUCUGUCUUAA
rnacentral:sRNA from 1 species